rnacentral:misc_RNA from 1 species
GAUGAAGAACGUAGCGAAAUGCGAUAAGUAAUGUGAAUUGCAGAAUUCAGUGAAUCAUCGAAUCUUUGAACGCACAUUGCGCCCUCUGGUAUUCCGGGGGGCAUGCCUGUUCGAGCGUCAUUACAACCCUCAAGCUUUGCUUGGUAUUGGACAUUGCCAGUUUCUGGCAGGUCUUAAAAUCAGUGGCGGUGCCAUUUGGCUUCAAGCGUAGUAAUUCUUCUCGCUUUGGAGAUCCAACUGGUUACUUGCCAAUAACCCCCAAUUUUUUCAGGUUGACCUCGGAUCAGGUAGGGAUACCCGCUGAACUUAAGCAUAUCAAUAAGCGGAGGA